rnacentral:rRNA from 1 species
AGCCCGCUCAGAAACUCAAAUGAAUUGACGGGGCCCGCACAAGCGGUGGAGUAUGUGGUUUAAUUCGAUGCAACGCGAAGAACCUUACCUGGUCUUGACAUCCCGGAGACCCUUAGGAAACUAGGGGGUGCUUCCAUCUGGAAGAAUCUGGAGACAGGUGCUGCAUGGCUGUCGUCAGCUCGUGUCGUGAGAUGUUGGGUUAAGUCCCGCAACGAGCGCAGCCCUUGCCUUUAGUUGCCAGCAGUUCGGCUGGGCACUCUAAAGGGACUGCCGGUGUUAAACCGGAGGAAGGUGGGGAUGACGUCAAGUCCUCAUGGCCUUUAUGACCAGGGCUACACACGUACUACAAUGGCCGAUACAAAGGGCAGCGACACUGCGAGGUGAAGCCAAUCCCGUAAAAUCGGUCUCAGUCCGGAUUGGAGUCUGCAACUCGACUCCAUGAAGUUGGAAUCGCUAGUAAUCGUGGAUCAGCAUGCCACGGUGAAUACGUUCCCGGGCCUU